UGAUGGCGAGACGCUAAGGCGUUGAAGCAGUGUAUGUCAGACUUCCAAGAAAAGCUCGCAAUGUCACAAAUAAAAAUGCCUGUACCAUAACCGACACAGGUGGGUAGGUAGAGUAUACUAAGGGGCGCGAGAUAACUCUCUCUAAGGAACUCGGCAAAAUGACUCCGUAACUUCGGGAGAAGGAGUGCCUUAUUUAUAAGGUUGCAAUAACAAGAUCCAAGCAACUGUUUAUCAAAAACACAGGUCUCCGCUAAGUCGUAAGACGAUGUAUGGGGGCUGACGCCUGCCCAGUGCCAGAAGGUUAAAGAAGUUGGUUAGUGUAUGCGAAGCUGAUGACUGAAGCCCUGGUGAACGGCGGCCGUAACUAUAACGGUCCUAAGGUAGCGAAAUUCCUUGUCGGGUAAGUUCCGACCCGCACGAAAGGCGUAAUGAUUUGGAUACUGUCUCGGAGAGAGGCUCGGUGAAAUAGACUUGUCUGUGAAGAUGCGGACUACCUGCACCAGGACAGAAAGACCCUAUGAAGCUUUACUGUAACUUGAAAUUGGAAUUGGACUUUGCUUGCGCAGUAUAGGUGGGAAGCGUUGAAAAUAUUCUUGCGGGAGUAUUGGAGCUAUCAGUGAGAUACCACUCUUGUAAUGUUAGAUUUCUAACUUUGAACCAUAAUCUGGUCAAAGAACAGUUUCUGGUGGGCAGUUUGACUGGGGCGGUCGCCUCCCAAAUGGUAACGGAGGCGUACAAAGGUUUCCUCUGAACGGAUAGAAAUCGUAUCUAGAGUGUAAAGGCAUAAGGAAGCUUGACUGUGAGACCUACAAGUCGAGCAGGGACGAAAGUCGGUCUUAGUGAUCUGACGGUACUGAGUGGAAAGGCCGUCACUCAACGGAUAAAAGUUACUCUAGGAUAACAGGCUGAUCUCCCCCAAGAGUUCACAUCGACGGGGAGGUUUGGCACCUCGAUGUCGGCUCAUCGCAUCCUGGGGCGGUAGUACGUCCCAAGGGUUGGGCUGUUCGCCCAUGAAAGCGGUACGCGAGCUGGGUUCAGAACGUCGUGAGACAGUUCGGUCCAUAUCCGGUGUAGGCGCUAGAAUAUUGAGAGGAGCCUUCUUCAGUACGAGAGGACCGAGAAGGACACACCGCUGGUGUACCAGUUAUCGUGCCAACGGUAAACGCUGGGUAGCUAUGUGUGGAGUGGAUAACCGCUGAAAGCAUCUAAGUGGGAAGCCCACCUCGAGAUGAGUA
rnacentral:rRNA from 1 species